rnacentral:rRNA from 1 species
ACUACGUACCUAUCGAAGGAGGGGGACGUAACCCGGCGAAAGUCGGACUAAUACCGCAUGAAGCAGGGGCCCCGCAUGGGGAUAUUUGCUAAAGAUUCAUCGCUGAUAGAUAGGCAUGCGUUCCAUUAGGCAGUUGGCGGGGUAACGGCCCACCAAACCGACGAUGGAUAGGGGUUCUGAGAGGAAGGUCCCCCACAUUGGUACUGAGACACGGACCAA